CAGACUGCAGGAGCGGGGACCGUCAGAGGACAGGAGAGACGACACAAAGGGGUUUGGAGAGACUCCACGCCAGAAGCAAUAUAUACAGCAAAGCACCGCCAAUGUGCAAAAGAGAGAUGAGCGGCGACUUUUAUUCACGUCUUUCAGACGUGGAUCUGCUGUCCAGGUCCGAAGGUGACUCGUUGGCUGGGCCAGAGGCUGCAACACAGGACAUGGGUCCUGCCUCUUCCUACCACUCGUGUCUUGUGUUGCAGCCAGUGGAGCUGCCUGCUUUGACUGUCUGCUGCUCUGUCUGCCCUACUGAUGAUGGAUUGAGUCUCUGGAACAUAGGAAUCCUGUCAAGUCUCAGACGUUAUGACCAGAAUCCUCACUUUGCAGCUGCCCCUGUGUCAAAUUACAGUCAUUUGUUGGAUUUUUGAAGAGUGCCUUAAAAGUACAUUUGUUUUCAUGUACUUUUCAUGUAUGUUUUUUUGGCAAUUUAAAUCAAACAUGUUCCCUACAGCUUUUGGCAUUACUGAUAAAUAAAUGAAAUGAGUCGACAUGUAAAACAUUUUGUCAUGAAGUUAAUGUUUUAAUGAAAAAUGUUUCCAACUUUUCAUUAUUUUAAUUUGAUUUAUUUAUUUGAAAUAUGUCUUGACAUGUUUAUUGCUGCUGUCCUUUUUGGUACUAGCCAUAAAGAUCUAAAGUUAUUAAAACCAACACAAAAAAGACCUUGUGAUCAUUUUGAAAAAUUUAAUCAUAUCAUGCUGUCCUGAUGCUGUGGACUCUGUAUUGUGGUUCUUAAAUUCAUUCAUUUCUUUAAUUUUUUUGUUAUUCAAUAAAAGGAUAUUUUCACCAUGAGA